CGGACGGGUGAGUAACUCGUGGGAAUCUACCCAGUAGUGGGGGACAACAGUUGGAAACGACUGCUAAUACCGCAUACGCCCUAAGGGGGAAAGCAGGGGAUCUUCGGACCUUGUGCUAUUGGAUGAGCCCGCGUGAGAUUAGAUUGUUGGUGGGGUAAUGGCCUACCAAGUCGACGAUCUCUAGCUGGUCUGAGAGGAUGAUCAGCCACACUGGAACUGAGACACGGUCCAG
rnacentral:rRNA from 1 species